rnacentral:rRNA from 1 species
UACGAGGGGGGCAAGCGUUGUUCGGAAUUAUUGGGCGUAAAGGGUGCGUAGGCGGCGCGGUAAGUCGGGUGUGAAAUCUCGGAGCUUAACUCCGAAACUGCAUUCGAUACUGCCGUGCUUGAGGACUGGAGAGGAGACUGGAAUUUACGGUGUAGCAGUGAAAUGCGUAGAGAUCGUAAGGAAGACCAGUGGCGAAGGCGGGUCUCUGGACAGUUCCUGACACUGAGGCACGAAGGCCAGGGGAGCAAACGGG